CUGGAAUGAUGUGAUUUAGCCAAAUCAUACGUUCAUGUGCUCCAUGUGGUACCGAACAUUGUUUCUAAAGCUGGCUCUCAUGGUAAAACUAAGCAUGCAAGCAAGCUUUGGUUGAUGUUCACGGUCCUCAUGUUGAAGUGCAUUUCCCUGAUGAUAAACCAGGAGAUUGGUUGUUUCCUGACCAGA
rfam:Phaseolus vulgaris cultivar G19833 chromosome 8, whole genome shotgun sequence.